GUUCGAUUAGCUCAGCUGGGAGAGCGUUGUAGGUAGGUGUGUAUACUAAACAUGUACUACUGCCUACGAAGGCCAGGAGUUCAAAUCUCCUAUCGGACA